UACGGAGGAUCCGAGCGUUAUCCGGGAUUAUUGGGUUUAAAGGGUGCGUAGGCGGCCAUUUAAGUCAGCGGUGAAAUUUUGCAGCUUAACUGUAACAGUGCCGUUGAUACUGUUUGGCUAGGAUUUGGUUGUAGUGUGCGGAAUGUGUGGUGUAGCGGUGAAAUGCUUAGAUAUCACACAGAACACCGAUUGCGAAGGCAGCACACUAAGUCAUUAUUGACGCUGAGGCACGAAAGUGUGGGGAUCAAACAGGAUUAGA
rnacentral:rRNA from 1 species